UGGGGAAUAUUGGACAAUGGGCGCAAGCCUGAUCCAGCCAUGCCGCGUGAGUGAUGAAGGCCCUAGGGUUGUAAAGCUCUUUCACCGGUGAAGAUAAUGACGGUAACCGGAGAAGAAGCCCCGGCUAACUUCGUGCCAGCAGCCGCGGUAAUACGAAGGGGGCUAGCGUUGUUCGGAUUUACUGGGCGUAAAGCGCACGUAGGCGGACUAUUAAGUCAGGGGUGAAAUCCCGGGGCUCAACCCCGGAACUGCCUUUGAUACUGGUAGUCUUGAGUGCGAGAGAGGUGAGUGGAAUUCCGAGUGUAGAGGUGAAACUCGUAGAUAUUCGGAGGAACACCAGUGGCGAAGGCGGCUCACUGGCUCGAUACUGACGCUGAGGUGCGAAAGCGUGGGGAGCAAACAGG
rnacentral:rRNA from 1 species